rnacentral:rRNA from 1 species
AAACUUUCAACAAUGGAUCUCUUGGUUCCGGCAUCGAUGAAGAACGCAGCGAAAUGCGAUAAUUAAUGCGAAUUGCAGAAUUCAGUGAAUCAUCGAGUCUUUGAACGCACAUUGCACCCCCUGGUAUUCCGGGGGGUAUGCCUGUCCGAGCGUCAUUG